GCGGCCGUAGUAUAGGGGUAGUACGACAGCUUGCCAAGCUGUAGGCGGGGGUUCGAGUCCCCUCGGCCGCUCCA
rnacentral:tRNA from 3 species